rnacentral:rRNA from 1 species
GAUGAACGCUGGCGGCGUGCCUAAUACAUGCAAGUCGAGCGAACAGACGAGGAGCUUGCUCCUCUGACGUUAGCGGCGGACGGGUGAGUAACACGUGGAUAACCGACCUAUAAGACUGGGAUAACUUCGGGAAACCGGAUCUAAUACCGGAUAAUAUAUUGAACCGCAUGGUUCAAUAGUGAAAGACGGUUUUGCUGUCACUAAUAGAUGGAUCCGCGCCGCAUUAGCUAGUUGGUAAGGUAACGGCUUACCAAGGCGACGAUGCGUAGCCGACCUGAGAGGGUGAUCGGUCACACUGGAACUGAGACACGGUCCAGACUCCUACGGGAGGCAGCAGUAGGGAAUCUUCCGCAAUGGGCGAAAGCCUGACGGAGCAACGCCGCGUGAGUGAUGAAGGUCUUCGGAUCGUAAAACUCUGUUAGUAGGGAAGAACAAAUGUGUAAGUAACUAUGCACGUCUUGACGGUACCUAAUCAGAAAGCCACGGCUAACUACGUG